rnacentral:tRNA from 1 species
GGCCUGAUGGUCUAGUAGUAUGAUUCCUUGUUAGGGUGCUUAGUCAUCAAUUCGAGGAGGUCCCGGGUUCAAUUCCCGGUCAGGCCC